GUAACGGAGGCGCGCGAAGGUUGGCUCAGACCGGUCGGAAAUCGGUCGUUGAGUGCAAUGGCAGAAGCCAGCCUGACUGCAAGACUGACAAGUCGAGCAGAGACGAAAGUCGGCCAUAGUGAUCCGGUGGUCCCGAGUGGAAGGGCCAUCGCUCAACGGAUAAAAGGUACGCUGGGGAUAACAGGCUGAUGAUGCCCAAGAGUCCAUAUCGACGGCAUCGUUUGGCACCUCGAUGUCGGCUCAUCUCAUCCUGGGGCUGGAGCAGGUCCCAAGGGUACGGCUGUUCGCCGUUUAAAGAGGUACGUGAGCUGGGUUUAGAACGUCGUGAGACAGUUCGGUCCCUAUCUGCCGUGGGUGUUGGAGACUUGAGAGGAGCUGCCCCUAGUACGAGAGGACCGGGGUGGACGUUCCACUGGUGGACCAGUUGUCGUGCCAACGGCAGUGCAGGGUAGCUAUGAACGGACAGGAUAAACGCUGAAGGCAUCUAAGCGUGAAGCCCCCCUCAAAACAAGGUCUCCCUUGAGAGCCGUGGAAGACCACCACGUCGAUAGGCCGGAGAUGUAAGUGCAGCAAUGCAUUCAGUUGACCGGUACUAAUGGCUCGAUAGGCUUGAUUUG
rnacentral:ncRNA from 1 species